rnacentral:tRNA from 1 species
GGCUGCGUAGCUCAGGGGCAGAGCGGAGCCCUCAUAAAGCUUAGGUCGGAGGUUCGAAUCCUCCCGCAGCCA